GGCGCGGUCAACGAGUCGGGUUGUUUGGGAAUGCAGCCCAAAUCGGGCGGUAGACUCCGUCCAAGGCUAAAUACAGGCGAGAGACCGAUAGCGAUCAAGUACCGCGAGGGAAAGAUGAAAAGGACUUUGAAAAGAGAGUCAAAGAGUGCUUGAAAUUGCCGGGAGGGAAGCGGAUGGGGGCCGGCGAUGCGCCCCGGCCGUAUGCGGAACG
rnacentral:ncRNA from 1 species